ensembl:snoRNA SNORA70 Small nucleolar RNA SNORA70
GUUUAAAAGAGAGUAAAAUGGCUGCAAACAGCAGCCUCCUUGGUAGUGUAUGCGCCUGUGGACUGUACGGGCUGCCCUCAGGGACCUUGGAGACAGCU